ACACCGGUGUAGCGUGAUUAUCACACGGUCGUGACCAGGCAAAUAUCUGUUAUCGGUGUAAUUACACCUUUGGAGAAAAGCGUGAUUCGCACGUUUUAAUUUCAUCAUUCGCCGCCUGGAGAGACAAGAUGGCGGAGCUUGCGAAAUCGAAAUUAAGACAAUGAAAUCGAAGAACUUCAUGCUAACACUUGCAUCAGUGGAAGUACUUCUUAUUGGAUAGAGAACUUUUCAAGGUCAGACAUCAGCUUUUAAAGUUGCUUUCUUGGCACAUCAUGCUGUCCAGUGGAGUUCAUACCAUAUGCCAGGCCUUUAUACAUGGUCAAAGAAGAUGAAUUUGUUAUUCAAUUUGUGAAAUUUGAUUUAAGGAGGACUUUCAUAUAUGAUGAUUAUAUUCAGCAGAUGAUCUUCAAGUGUGCACUUUAUAGAAUCACAGUUUCUAGGAGGUUUUCAGUUUAAAGUUAGAUUAAUUGAAAAAUGAUGAAAAGUACAUUGUUAGAACUUCAAAUAUGCAACAUAAAGGUGAAUAUAGGUAACUUCAUAAAUUCUCACCACAGGGUGUGUGGGUUAGUGGCUUUGAGUUGUGCAAAUUCAGUACAUAGAUCUAUAACCUUAAUCUGCUGAGAAUUUCUUCCCUUAAAUGAUUGAUUAUAAAGUCUUUAAUAUUGAAAUAAAUUUGCAUCUGUGAUUCUAUGGCAUUACUAGGAAAGACACGUUAUUAUACAUUCUACAUUGUAACAGUUGGUGUUUAGAUCCUAUAAUUGUAAAACAUAAAAUAAAUGUUUAAAGUUUCAUAAAA
rnacentral:lncRNA from 1 species